rnacentral:lncRNA from 1 species
UCAGAAUCAGACUCCGCCCAGCUUUCAGCACUGGGCAGUGGAGACAAAACAACAAACUUGGUCUUCUUACAGCUAAAUUUUUUGAUGAAAAAGUUCCUCUGAAAAAGAAGGUCUCGCAUUGGCAAUCGCAGUCGUUGUUCACUCUCUCUUUUUAACUACAGUUGUUUAUCGUACUGCUAUAGAAUAAGUAUUUGAUUAUCUUGAUUAAAUCUCUCUGAUGGACAAUAGCAGAGAGCAAAAUAAUCUUCAUGCUAUGAAGCUUAGAUUGGUGCAAUAAUCUUCUAUCCAAAACUGUAUAACGCAAAGGCAAUUGACACGGUUUGCAAGAUCAAUUUUGUUAAUCGUUGUUUCACAUUUUUUUGAGGAGCGAAACACAUGUUUUGUGAAAGCAUUUUAUCGAUUCAUUUAAAUCAUGCUCAACCAAAAAUCAUAUUGUGGCUGGUACACAUGCUUGAGUAUUACUAAAAUUUGUUAUAUUAAGCUACUCUCAGCGUUCUGCUUUGACGUGAUGUUGCACCAUAGGCUUAGUACAGGGGGAAUCAUUCGUAGACUCACUUUGCAUUUUCUUUCGCAGACUGUUCCCUUAUUAAAAAAUGGCGUUGUUGCAAAAUUUUAAAGUUGCUGCAGCUGGAUAGGUUUCUUCACACAUAUACUCAACUCUUUUAUUUGUGCAUGAUGAUUGGUCUUAUUUCUCUAAUAUGGUUUAUUUUGAUUGUUUGAGAUGGAUUUAAAUCUGAAGCAUGCAGAUUUAUGUCAAUGAUGUUACUCUGCAGCUUAAUGGUUAAAGCGAGCUGCUACUGUAGAAAGUGAUGGUACUGUGCAGUUUGAAGUUCCAGCGACAUCGCAUCGCAAAGUCUAAAUUUUGGAACUGGAGUUGUUUAUAAUGGAG